GAAAGUUUACCACAUUAAUAUAGAUGGAUAGAUAACUUUAUUAAUCCCCAAAGGAAAAUUUCAGUUGUCAUAGCAGCCAGGUACCUCAAAAAGACAAAAUUAAG